rnacentral:rRNA from 1 species
UGGGGAAUAUUGGCAAUGGCGAAAGCCUGACCCAGCAACGCCGCGUGAAGGAAGAAGGUUUUCGGUAUUGUAAACUUCUUUUAUUCAGGGACGAAGAAAGUGACGGUACCUGAUGAAUAAGCCACGGCUAACUACGUGCCAGCAGCCGCGGUAAUACGUAGGUGGCAAGCGUUAUCCGGAUUUACUGGGUGUAAAGGGCGUGUAGGCGGAGGAGCAAGUCAGAUGUGAAAUCCCGGGGGCUUAACCCCGGAACUGCAUUUGAAACUGUUUCCCUUGAGUAUCGGAGAGGCAAGCGGAAUUCCUAGUGUAGCGGUGAAAUGCGUAGAUAUUAGGAGGAACACCAGUGGCGAAGGCGGCUUGCUGGACGACAACUGACGCUGAGGCGCGAAAGCGUGGGGAGC